rnacentral:rRNA from 1 species
GAUCCUGGCUCAGGACGAACGCUGGCGGCGUGCUUAACACAUGCAAGUCGAACGGAGCACCCUUGACUGAGGUUUCGGCCAAAUGAUAGGAAUGCUUAGUGGCGGACUGGUGAGUAACGCGUGAGGAACCUACCUUCCAGAGGGGGACAACAGUUGGAAACGACUGCUAAUACCGCAUGACGCAUGACCGGGGCAUCCCGGGCAUGUCAAAGAUUUUAUCGCUGGAAGGUGGCCUCGCGU